UGUGCUGUGAUUUUUGAGGGAUCAUCACGACGGUCUCCUGCUGGCUGGCGGACUGCGCCCUCUCACCCCGGCUGUGAUCUGCUGCACAGCCAGGCCUGCGCUCUGCUCCUCUGGCAUCUCCCCCAGCCCCGCGCAGGCCACCGCUCCAUUCCCCACGGCCAGAGAGUCAGUUGCUGGGUGCCCCUCUUGCAGUGGCCUGCUUACCAGACAUGAUCCGGCCUGCUAGUUAGCAUGCAGAAACAAACGACGAUGCUCAGAAGGGCCCUGCAGGAAUGUGAGUGCUCUGAGAAAUGCCUGCCGGAAUUGAAAAGGGAGAGCGGCAUGAGCCAUCGCCCCCGCGUCCCGUGGCUGUUGAGCGCAGUGAUGACAUCACAGACACAAAUGGCCCCAGCCAGCGCCGAAUUCUACAGUGGGAGGCGAGGAAUUCCAGACGUCCGUUUCGUCGUAAGCACUGGGACCCGCAAUGCCAGCUAUGCAGCCGAUUCUGGGAAAGGGAACAAUCCAUCCCGGUGCUCCAUAAUAAUGCACUGUGUCACGGGAACGGGACAAUCCGUGGCCACUGUUCGGCCUCCUUUUACGCAGAGUCCAAAACGUUUGAGGAAUGCAAAGUUGCGUUCCUUUCCAAAGGAAUGAAAAGAUUCUAUUGAAGUGCAGAUUGACUAUGCAGUAGAUCAACCACUGCACUCAAAAAAUGUGCCCAGUUUGUCCUGUGCUGGGAAUGCACAUUUAGAGUGGUGGGAAAAGUCCAUGGAAAAUUGCAGAUGAUUCAACCAGAAAAGUACAUGUUACAAUAAAGAUUAAAAUGUAGAAUUUUGCAACAUGUUUCCAGUACAUUAUUGGGGUAUUGUUGCCAUCCACAAACAAGUCUCUAUUCAUUUUAAUUUAUUAUAUACUGUCUCUCCUUAAAGGUGACCUCCUGCACUUUAUAUUUCCACAGGAAACAUUUUUUUUUUAUUCUCCUAGGGUUAGGCUAUGUCUAUAAGUUCUGUGUGCACAACAUUGGUUCCCAUUUGGGAGCAAUAUAACGCUCGAACAAGACAGAAAAACACAAAUGGAAUUAUGAGUUCACCUUUGUGUGCCGUGUUUUCGCAGUAGCGGGCGCG